UACAGAGGUCUCAAGCGUUUGUUCGGAUUCAUUGGGCGUAAAGGGUGUGUAGGUGGCGCCGUAAGUCGGGUGUGAAAUCUCGGGGCUUAACUCCGAAACUGCAUUCGAUACUGCGGUGCUUGAGGACUGGAGAGGAGACUGGAAUUCAUGGUGUAGCAGUGAAAUGCGUAGAGAUCAUGAGGAAGACCAGUGGCGAAGGCGGGUCUCUGGACAGUUCCUGACACUGAGACACGAAGGCCAGGGGAGCAAACGGG
rnacentral:rRNA from 1 species